rnacentral:rRNA from 1 species
GAUGAACGCUAGCGGCAGGCUUAACACAUGCAAGUCGUGGGGCAGCGCGAGGUAGCAAUACUUUGGCGGCGACCGGCAAACGGGUGCGGAACACGUACGCAACCUUCCUCAGAGCGGGGAAUAGCCUCUCGAAAGAGAGAUUAAUACCCCAUAGUAUCCCGAAUUCGCAUGGAAUUGGGAUUAAAGCUUCGGCACUUUGAGAUGGGCGUGCGGCUGAUUAGGUAGUUGGUAGGGUAACGGCCUACCAAGCCAACGAUCAGUAGCUGAUGUGAGAGCAUGAUCAGCCACACGGGCACUGAGACACGGGCCCGACUCCUACGGGAGGCAGCAGUGAGGAAUAUUGGUCAAUGGAGGAAACUCUGAACCAGCCAUGCCGCGUGAAGGAUGAAGGUCCUCUGGAUUGUAAACUUCUUUUAUAGAAGAAGAAACCCCAGUAUUCUUACUGGGUUGACGGUACUCUAUGAAUAAGCACCGGCUAACUCCGUG